UACAGAGGUGGCAAGCGUUGUUCGGAAUUACUGGGCGUAAAGGGCGCGUAGGCGGCCAUCUAAGUCAGACGUGAAAUCCCCCGGCUUAACCUGGGAACUGCGUCUGAUACUGGAAGGCUUGAGUAUGGGAGAGGGAUGUAGAAUUCCAGGUGUAGCGGUGAAAUGCGUAGAUAUCUGGAGGAAUACCGGUGGCGAAGGCGGCUACCUGGCCCAACAUUGACACUGAGGCCCGAAAGCGUGGGGAUCAAACAGG
rnacentral:rRNA from 1 species